rnacentral:lncRNA from 1 species
AUGAUGGGGUCAAGGCUGGAGCUGAGCCUGGUGUAGCUGCUGUGCAUUGAGAGAGGACAGCGAUUGUACAAAUGUCAUCUGCAAAAGUACAUAAGUUCCCUGGAGGACAUAGUGCCGGUCUUGAAGGCCCAAAAGAGUCUCCGAGGUGAUUCAUUAAUAUCUCUGUAUGGUGGAUUUUCCAGAGGAGAUGCUGCAGGCAAAGAAACCGACCUCCUUCUCCAUGAAGGCACCAGCCAACAAGUGUCUGGUCCCUGCCACAUGCAGCCCACAUCACAGAGAGAGUGCCUGCUGCAAUGACAGUGCAUGUGUGGUCACCGUGGGGUACACCAGUGAGAUGUGGAGUGAACUGCCGGCACUGGCUCUGCAGCAAAGCCUGUGCAGAAAGUGAGAAAGAGGGCUGGAGUGGCAGGACAGAAGCCAGCGGAGGAGAAGCACUUGGGGGUGAACUAGACCUUCUCCUGCUGUGACAUCAGAAUCCCCAGGAAAAACUGGUGCAGGAGAUUCUAGGCUUGGCCUAGAGUCUCAAGACACUGGCUACACAGAGCAUCAUCAAGAAGGACAAUCAGACCGUCACACUCACUUACUAUGGCUGAACAGUACCUGUAGAAGCUCAAGACAGAGUGAGAGCAGCUGGAGCAGCACAUGCAGAAGUCCAUCAUGUGGGUGCUUUGGGCCAUCCCUGCUUCAUCUUCAUUAGCAUGGUCUUCUUCAUUGGUGUCAUGCCCAAACUCAAA